UACGGGGGGAGCAAGCGUUGUUCGGAUUUACUGGGCGUAAAGGGCGCGUAGGCGGCCACCGCAAGUCGACUGUGAAAUCUCCGGGCUUAACUCGGAAAGGUCAGCCGAUACUGCGGGGCUAGAGUGCAGAAGGGGCAACUGGAAUUCUCGGUGUAGCGGUGAAAUGCGUAGAUAUCGAGAGGAACACCUGCGGCGAAGGCGGGUUGCUGGGCUGACACUGACGCUGAUUGUGCGAAAGCUAGGGGAGCGAUCGGG
rnacentral:rRNA from 1 species